rnacentral:rRNA from 1 species
UUGGAGGGCAAGUCUGGUGCCAGCAGCCGCGGUAAUUCCAGCUCCAAUAGCGUAUAUUAAAGUUGUUGCAGUUAAAAAGCUCGUAGUUGAAUUUCGGGGUUAGUAGGCUGGUCGUGCCACCGGUACGUACUGGUCUUACUGAUUCCUCCUUCCUGAUGAACUGUAAUGCCAUUAAUUUGGUGUUGCAGGGAAUCUGGACUGUUACUUUGAAAAAAUUAGAGUGUUUAAAGCAGGCUAACGCUUGAAUACAUUAGCAUGGAAUAAUGAAAUAGGACGUUCGAUCCUAUUUUGUUGGUUUCUAGGAUUGACGUAAUGAUUAAUAGGGAUAGUUGGGGGCAUUAGUAUUCAAUUGUCAGAGGUGAAAUUCUUGGAUUUAUUGAAGACUAACUACUGCGAAAGCAUUUGCCAAGGAUGUUUUCAUUAAUCAAGAACGAAAGUUAGGGGAUCGAAGACGAUCAGAUACCGUCGUAGUCUUAACCAUAAACUAUGCCGACUAGGGAUCGGAUGAUGUUAAUUUUUUAAUGACUCAUUCGGCGCCUUACGGGAAAC